rnacentral:rRNA from 1 species
UACGAAGGGGGCUAGCGUUGCUCGGAAUUACUGGGCGUAAAGGGAGCGUAGGCGGAUAGUUUAGUCAGAGGUGAAAGCCCAGGGCUCAACCUUGGAAUUGCCUUUGAUACUGGCUAUCUUGAGUACGGAAGAGGUAUGUGGAACUCCGAGUGUAGAGGUGAAAUUCGUAGAUAUGUGGAGGAACACCAGUGGCGAAGGCGGCCAACUGGACCACAACUGACGCUGAGGCGCGAAAGCGUGGGGAGCAAACAGG